UACGUAGGGUGCGAGCGUUAAUCGGAAUUACUGGGCGUAAAGCGUGCGCAGGCGGUUUUGCAAGUCAGAUGUGAAAGCCCCGGGCUCAACCUGGGAAUUGCAUUUGAAACUACAAGGCUGGAGUGUGUCAGAGGGGGGUAGAAUUCCACGUGUAGCAGUGAAAUGCGUAGAGAUGUGGAGGAAUACCGAUGGCGAAGGCAGCCCCCUGGGAUAACACUGACGCUCAUGCACGAAAGCGUGGGGAGCAAACAGG
rnacentral:rRNA from 1 species